AUUAGGUUAUGGGGCUAUGGUAAGGGUUCAGUUAUUUGGCGUUAGGGUUAAAAUUAUUGUCCAAAACCUUUGUAGGAACUCUUUUCCAACCUUUUGGAGUUAGUUAGACCAAAAAAAAAUGAAAAAUGAAAAAAAAAUAUUUUGGGUUUUCAGGCUUCCUGAAGGUAAUACCCAGGUAUUAGGUUAUGGGGCUAGGGUUAGGUUUUAGGUUUUUGGCGUUAGGGUUAAUAUCAAUGUCCAAAACCUUUGGAGGAACUCUUUUCCAAGCUUUUGGAGGUAGUUAGACAAAAAAAAAGAGAAAAAUUAAAAAAAAUAUUUGUGGUUUUCGGGCUUCCUGAAGGUAAUACCCGGGUAUUAGGUUAUGGGGCUAUGGUAAGGUUUAAGGUUUUUGGCGAUAGGGUUAAACUAACUUUCCAAAACCUUUUUAGGAACAUGUUUCAGACCCUUUGGAGUUGGUUAAACCAAAAAAAAAUGUAAAAUGAAAAAAAAAUAUUUGGGGUGUUCGGGCUUCCUGAAGGUAAUACUUAGUAUUAGGUUAUGGGGCUAUGGUAAGGGUUCAGUUUUUUGGCAUUAGGGUUAAAAUUAUUGUCCAAAACCUUUGUAGGAACUCUUUUCCAACCUUUUGGAGUUAGUUAGACCAAAAAAAAAAGAAAAAUGAAAAAAAAAUAUUUGGGGUUUUCGGGCUUCCUGAAGGCAAUAUCCAGGUAUUAGGUUAUGGGGCUAGGGUAAGGUUUUAGGUUUUUGGCGUUAGGGUUAAAAUCAAUGUCCAAAACCUUUGGAGGAACUCUUUUCCAACCUUUUGGAGUCAGUAUGACCAAAAUAAAAUAAAAAAAAUAAAAAAAAUGUAUUUGGGGUGUUCGGGCUUCCUGAAGGUAAUACCCGGGUAUUAGGUUAUGGGGCUUAGGAAAGGUUUAAGGUUUUUGGCGUUAGGGUUAAAAUCACUGUCCAAAACCUUUGUAGGAACUCUUUUCCAACCUUUUGGAGUUAGUUAGACCAAAAAAAAAAGAAAAAUGAAAAAAAAAUAUUUGGGGUUUUGGGGUGCCUGAAGGCAAUACCCGGGAAUCAGUUUCUGGGGCUUUGGAAAGGUUUAAGGUUUUUGGCGUUAGGGUUAAAAUCACUGUCCAAAACCUUUGUAGGAACUCUUUUCCAACCUUUUGGAGUCAGUUCGACCAAAAAAAAAGAAAAAUGAAAAAAAAAUAUUUGGGGUUUUCAGGCUUCCUGGAGGUAAUACCCUAAUAUUAGGUUAAGGGGCUAUGGUAAGGUUUAAGGUUUUUGGCGAUAGGGUUAAACUAACUGUCCAAAACCUUUUUAGGAACAUGUUUCAGACCUUUUGGAGUUGGUUACACACAAAAAAAAUGUAAAAUGAAAAAAAUAUAUUUGGGGUGUUCGGGCUUCCUGAAGGUAUUAGGUUAUGGGGCUAUGGUAAGGGUUCAGUUUUUUGGCGUUAGGGUUAAAAUUAUUGUCCAAAACCUUUGUAGGAACUCUUUUCCAACCUUUUGGAGUCAGUUAGACCAAAAAGAAAAGAAAAAAGAAAAAAAAUAUAUUUGGGGUGUUCGGGCUUCCUGAAGGUAAUACCGGGUAUUAGGUUUUGGGGCUAGGGUAAGGUUUGAGGUUUUUGGCAUUAGGGUUAAAAUCACUGUCCAAAACCUUUGUAGGAACUCUUUUCCAACCUUUUGGAGUUAGGUAGACCAAAAAAAAAAAGAAAAAAAAAAAAAAAUAUUUGGGGUUUUCAGGCUUCCUGGAGGUAAUACCCUAAUAUUAGGUUAAGGGGCUAUGGUAAGGUUUAAGGUUUUUGGCGUUAGGGUUAAACUAACUGUCCAAAACCUUUUUAGGAACAUGUUUCAGACCUUUUGGAGUUGGUUACACACAAAAAAAAUGUAAAAUGAAAAAAAAAUAUUUGGGGUGUUCGGGCUUCCUGAAGGUAUUAGGUUAUGGGGCUAUGGUAAGGGUUCAGUUUUUUGGCGUUAGGGUUAAAAUUAUUGUCCAAAACCUUUGUAGGAACUCUUUUCCAACCUUUUGGAGUUAGGUAGACCAAAAAGAAAAGAAAAAAGAAAAAAAAAUAUUUGGGGUUUUCGGGCUUCCUGAAGGUAAUACCCGGGUAUUAGGUUUUGGGGCUAGGGUAAGGUUUGAGGUUUUUGGCAUUAGGGUUAAAAUCACUGUCCAAAACCUUUUUAGGAACAUGUUUCAGGCAUUUUGCAGUUGGUUAAACCAAAAAAAAAAAGUAAAAUGAAAAAAAAAUAUUUGGGGUGUUCGGGCUUCCUGAAGGUAAUAACCGGGUAUUAGGUUAUGGGGCUAUGGUAAGGUUUAAGGUUUUUUGACGUUAGGGUGAAAAUAACUGUACAAAACCUUUGUAGGAACUCUUUUCCGACCUUUUGGAGUUAGGUAGACCAAAAAAAAAAGAAAAAAGAAAAAAAAAUAUUUGGGGUGUUCGGGCUUCCUGAAGGUAAUACCCGGGUAUUAGGUUUUGGUGCUAGGGUAAGGUUUGAGGUUUUUGGCAUUAGGGUUAAAAUCACUGUCCAAAACCUUUUUAGGAACACCUUUCAGACCUUUUGGAGUUUGUACAACAAAAAAAAAAUGUAAAAUGAAAAAGAAAUAUUUGGGGUGUUCGGGCUUCCUGAAGGUAAUACCCGGGUAUCAGGUUUUUGGGCUAGGGUAAGGUUUGAGGUUUUUGGCGUCAGGGUUAAAAUCAAUGUCCAAAACCUUUGGAGGAACUCUUUUCCAAGCUUUUGGAGUCAGUUACACCAAAAAAAAUGUAAAAUGAAAAAAAAAUAUUUGGGGUGUUCGGGCUUCCUGAAGGUAAUACCCCGGUAUUAGGUUAUGGGGCUAUGGUAAGGGUUAAGGUUUUUGGAUUAGGGUUAAAAUCACUGUCCAAAACCUUUUUAGGAACAUGUUUCAGACCUUUUGCAGUUGGUUAAACCAAAAAAAAAUGUAAAAUGAAAAAAAUAUAUUUGGGGUUUUCGGGCUUCCUGAAGGACCUAUUAGGUUAUGGGACUAUGGUAAGGUUUAAGGUUUUUGGCGUUAGGGUUAAAACCACUGUCCAAAACCUUUGUAGAAACUCUUUUCCAACCUUUUGGAGUUACGUAGACCAAAAAAAAAGGAAAAAUGAAAAAAAAAUAUAUUUGGGGUGUUCGGGCAUCCUGAAGGUAUUAGGUUUUGGGGCUAAGGUAAGGUUUAAGGUUUUUGGCGUGAGGGUUAAAAUCACUGUCAAAAACCUUUGUAGGAACUCUUUUCCAACCUUUUGGAGUCAGUAUGACCAAAAAAUAAAUAAAAAAAAUAAAAAAAAUGUAUUUGGGGUGUUCGGGCUUCCUGAAGGUAAUACCCGGGUAUUAGGUUAUGGGGCUUAGGAAAGGUUUAAGGUUUUUGGCAUUAGGGUUAAAAUCACUGUCCAAAACCUUUGUAGGAACUCUUUUCCAACCUUUUGGAGUUAGGUAGACCAAAAAAAAAAGAAAAAAGAAAGAAAAAUAUUUGGGGUUUUCGGGCUUCCUGAAGGUAAUACCGGGGUAUUAGGUUAUGGGGCUAUGGUAAGGUUUAAGGUUUUUGACGUUAGGGUUAAAAUCACUGUCAAAAACCUUUGUAGGAACUCUUUUCCAACCUUAUGGAGUUCGUGAGACCAAAAAAAAAAAGACAAAUGAAAAAAAAAAAUUUGGGGUGUUCGGGCUUCCUGAAGGUAAUACCCGGGUAUUAGGUUAUGGGGCUAGGGUAAGGUUUGAGGUUUUUGGCAUUAGGGUUAAAAUCACUGUCCAAAACCUUUGUAGGAACUCUUUUCCAACCUUUUGGAGUUAGACCAAAAAAGAAUGAAAAAUGAAAAGAAAAUAUUUGGGGUUUUCGGGCUUCCUGAAGGUAAUACCCGGGUAUCAGGUUAUGGGGCUAUGGUAAGGUUUAAGGUUUUUGGCGUUAGGGUUAAAAUCACUGUCCAAAACCUUUGUAGGAACUCUUUUCCAACCUUUUGGAGUCAGUUAGACAAAAAAAAUGAAAAAUGAAAUAAAAAAUAUUUGGGGUGUUCAGGCUUCCUGAAGGUAAUACCCGGUAUUAGGUUAUGGGGCUUAGGAAAGGUUUAAGGUUUUUGGCGUUAAGGUUAAAAUCACUGUCCAAAACCUUUGUAGGAACUCUUUUCCAACCUUUUGGAGUCAGUUAGACCAAAAAAAAGAAAAAUGAAAAAAAAAAAUAUUUGGGGUUUUCAGGCUUCCUGGAGGUAAUACCCGGGCAUUAGGUUAUGGGGCUUUGGAAAGGUUUAAGGUUUUUGGCGUUAGGGUUAAAAUCACUGUCCAAAAACCUUUGUAGGAACUCUUUUCCAACCUUUUGGAGUUAGGUAGACCAAAAAAAAAAAGAAAAAAGAAAAAAAAAUAUUUGGGGUGUUCGGGCUUCCUGAAGGUAAUACCCGGGUAUUAGGUUUUGGGGCUAGGGUAAGGUUUGAGGUUUUUGGCAUUAGGGUUAAAAUCACUGUCCAAAACCUUUGUAGGAACUCUUUUCCAACCUUUUGGAGUUAGUUAGACCAAAAAAAAAGAAAAAUGAAAAAAAUAUAUUUUGGGUUUUCGGGCUUCCUGAAGGCAAUACCCGGGAAUCAGUUUCUGGGGCUUUGGAAAGGUUUAAGGUUUUUGGCGUUAGGGUUAAAAUCACUGUCCAAAACCUUUGUAGGAACUCUUUUCCAAGCUUUUGAGUUAGUUAGACCAAAAAAAAAUUAAAAAUGAAAUAAAAAAUAUUUGGAUUGCAAAAAUAUAUCAAGAUCCAAAGAUGGUGUGCGCACUUGUCUGUGGUCAUUUACCAUUAUAAUGAAUGGGAGGCGCAGUUUCUACCAAAACACUUGCUGCAGACAAACUUCAUGACCUAUAUGAAAAAAGUCUGGACCAUGAGUGAGGGCACAAACACAGCUAGUAUAUAUCCAAAUGGCAAGUUGCUCCUCCUUUCGGUUUUGCAGAGAGAGCGGUGUGUUUGAGCCAUUGAGCGAUGGGCAGGAAAAACUUGACUUUUUCUCCUGCCUUGGGGGGGCGCUCUUUUGGUGAGAAAAAAAUUACUUCACAAAUGUUUUGAUGGCUGAACAUUGCAUCAUCCUAGAAAACUUGGAUGAGUGGCCAAAACUUCUUUGUCUGCUGUAAAAUCAAAUUGGAUUAAUAUUUUUUCCAGAUUUUUUUUUGUACAUCUCUUAUUUUACUUCUGCCCUGUUCAAAACUAGCAAAUGUUUCAUUAAAGAUAUUUUUUUAACCCUUUAAGAGCCUUUUAAAUUUUUCUGUAGUAUCAGAUUUAAUAGACAACUCCUUUGGCGCCACUCAGUGGCCAUAACUACUUUGUCUGCUGUUAAUAGACAACUCCCUUUGGCGCCACUCAGUGGCCAAAACAAUUUGUAAUCAUAUGGAUUUUUGGGUUAUCUUUGGCGCCCCCUAGAACGUAAAACGUGGGGUUCAGCGUCAUGAUUUGUACAACUUUGAAUGGUCAGUUAGACCAAAAAGAAUGAAAAAUGAAAAGAAAAUAUUUGGGGUUUUCGGGCUUCCUGAAGGUAAUACCCGGGUAUCAGGUUAUGGGGCUAUGGUAAGGUUUAAGGUUUUUGGCGUUAGGGUUAAAAUCACUGUCCAAAACCUUUGGAGGAACUCUUUUCCAACCUUUUGGAGUUAGUUAGACCAAAAAAAAGAAAAAUGAAAAAAAAAUAUUUGGGGUUUUCGGGCUUCCUGAUGGCAAUACCCGGGAAUCAGUUUCUGGGGCUUUGGAAAGGUUUAAGGUUUUUGGCGUUAGGGUUAAAAUCACUGUCCAAAACCUUUGUAGGAACUCUUUUCCAAGCUUUUGGAGUUAGUUACACCAAAAAAAAAAGAAAAAUGAAAAAAUAUUUGGGGUGUUCGGGCUUCCUGAAGGUAAUACCCAGGUAUUAGGUUAUGGGGCUAGGGUAAGGUUUUAGGUUUUUGGCGUUAGGGUUAAAAUCAAUGUCCAAAACCUUUGUAGGAACUCUUUUCCAAGCUUUUGGAGUUAGUUAGACCAAAAAAACAUGAAAAAUGAAAAAAUAUAUAUUUGGGGUGUUCGGGCAUCCUGAAGGUAAUACCCGGGUAUUAGGUUUUGGGGCUAAGGUAAGGUUUAAGGUUUUUGGCGUGAGGGUUAAAAUCACUGUCAAAAACCUUUGUAGGAACUCUUUUCCAACCUUUUGGAGUCAGUAUGACCAAAAAAAAAUAAAAAAAAUGUAUUUGGGGUGUUCGGGCUUCCUGAAGGUAGUACCCGGGUAUUAGGUUAUGGGGCUUAGGAAAGGUUUAAGGUUUUUGGCGUUAGGGUUAAAAUCACUGUCCAAAACCUUUGUAGGAACUCUUUUCCAACCUUUUUGAGUCAGUUAGACCAAAAAAAAAGAAAAAAGAAAAAAAUAUAUUUGCGGUUUUCAGGCUUCCUGGAGGUAAUACCCGGGUAUUAGGUUAUGGGGCUUAGGAAAGGUUUAAGGUUUUUGGUGAUAGGGUUAAAAUAACUGUCCAAAACCUUUUUAGGAACAUGUUUCAGACCUUUUGGAGUUGGUUACACCAAAAAAAAAUGUAAAAUGAAAAAAAAAUAUUUGGGGUGUUCAGGCUUCCUGAAGGUAAUACCCGGGUAUUAGGUUAUGGGGCUAUGGUAAGGUUUAAGGUUUUUGACGUAAGGGUGAAAAUAUCUGUCCAAAACCUUUGUAGGAACUCUUUUCCAACCUUAUGGAGUUCGUUAGACCAAAAAAACAAGAAAAAUGAAAAAAAAAUAUUUGGGGUGUUCGGACUUCCUGAAGGUAAUACCCGGGUAUUAGGUUAUGGGGCUAUGGUAAGGUUUAAGGUUUUUGACGUUAGGGUGAAAAUAACUUUCCAAAACCUUUGUAGGAACUCUUUUCCAACCUUAUGGAGUUCGUUAGACCAAAAAAAAAAGAAAAAUGAAAAAAAAAAAUUUGGGGUGUUCGGGCUUCCUGAAGGUAAUACCCAGGCAUUAGGUUUUGGGGCUAGGGUAAGGUUUGAGGUUUUUGGCAUUAGGGUUAAAAUCACUGUCCAAUACCUUUUUAGGAACACGUUUCAGACCUUUUGGAGUUUGUACACCAAAAAAAAAAUGUAAAAUUAAAAAAAAAUAUUUGGGGUGUUCAGGCUUCCUGAAGGUAAUACCCGGGUAUCAGGUUAUGGGGCUAUGGUAAGGUUUAAGGUUUUUGGCGUUAGGGUUAAAAUCACUGUCCAAAACCUUUGUAGGAACUCUUUUCCAACCUUUUGGAGUCAGUUCGACCAAAAAAAAAGAAAAAUGAAAAAAAAAAUAUUUGGGGUUUUCAGGCUUCCUGGAGGUAAUACCGUAAUAUUAGGUUAAGGGGCUAUGGUAAGGUUUAAGGUUUUUGGCGAUAGGGUUAAACUAACUGUCCAAAACCUUUUUAGGAACAUGUUUCAGACCUUUUGGAGUUGGUUACACACAAAAAAAUGUAAAAUGAAAAAAAAAUAUUUGGGGUGUUCGGGCUUCCUGAAGGUAAUAACCGGGUAUUAGGUUAUGGGGCUAUGGUAAGGUUUAAGGUUUUUGACGUUAGGGUGAAAAUAACUGUCCAAAACCUUUGUAGGAACUCUUUUCCAACCUUUUUGUUACGACCAGCUCGUUUAAGGGAGAAGGGAAGCAACAUAAAACCGACCAGAUGUUAAAUGAUCAAAUCAAGUUAUUUAUUAACAAAAGUAAAAUUGGCAGUAACAACAAAAAGAGAGGCAACAAAGGCCUUAAAGGAAACUUAACAGGUUGCCAAAAACACAGGGAGACUCUAACCUAGAGUUAGUUACCAGUAAAAUAAACAGAUCUGCUCACAAUCGGCAAGAAACAAACUAAAACACAACUCUCAGCCCUAAUGCUGGAUACAAAAGAAAGCAGGUAGGCGUGUGCAAACCAAAAUGCCUCACAAGCUAUGAAAAAGUCCUUAUUCACAAUUACUAAGACAAUCAGUCUGAGGAAGAGGCAUGGGAGCUCCACUGGUUACAGCGUGCUCCCUGAUCUGCAGGUCCGCUGGAGUUUUAUCCACUCCCCCCAAGUGGCUCCUCUCAAUUGGCAGAAGCCCUCAGCCAGUCAGUGUUUGCAGUUUCCAGGUGGAGGUGAUCAGGCACUUAAUUGAUCCGCAGCCACGGCAACCUGUGAACUGCAGGCAGCAUGCACACACAGGCACUCUCACACCCGCACACACACACACACACACAGAGAGAGAGAGGAAGACCCAAGACUCGCCACUCUAAGGCGGCGGCCGUAACACCCCUCCCCUUAAGAGGCAAACCCUCCUAAGGAGGUUUGUCAUGAGCAAAAAAAAAAAAACCACACAGUCAACAUUACAUUCUGGACAACGCAUCUGCUACCACAUUGUCGGACCCCUUUUUGUGCUGGAUCUCCACAUUGUAAUCCUGCAUGACCAGUGCCCACCGCAUAAGCCUUUGGUUGUGGUUAUACAUACGAUGCAGAAAGACGAGUGGGUUGUGGUCAGUGAAGACCACCACUGGCAGAGGACUGGAACCUACGUAUACUUCAAAGUGUUGAAGUGACCAUAACAAAGCAAGGGUUUCUUUUUCUAUGAUUGAGUAGUUCACCUGAUGCUUGUUAAAUUUGCGGGAAAAAUAUCCUACUGGGUGGUCAACUCCAUCACUAUCCUCCUGCAACAGGACAGCCCCGACACCUACUGCAGAGGCAUCUACCUCAAGUUUGAACGGCUGGGAGAAGUCAGGAGCUGCAAGGACAGGGGCGUGGCUAAGGAGGGACUUUGCGCUGUCAAACGCAUGCUGACAGGCAGGGGACCAAUCAAAGUCGACUUUGGGACUAGUUAGAGAAGUCAACGGCUGAACAACGGAGGAGAAGUUGCGGCAGAAGCUACGGUAGUAGCCCGCCAUGCCCAGAAAACGACGGAGCGCCUUGCGGGUGGUUGGGACCGGAAACUCUGCUAUGGCAGUUACCUUGGCGUCGAGAGGCUUAACUUGACCCUGCCCAACCUGUCGUCCUAAAUAGGUGACGGUGGCCUUACCGAAAUCACACUUGGCGAGAUUUAGCGUUAGGGUCGCGUGCGCAAGACGAGUGAACACCUGUUCGAGGAUGCGGAGGUGCUCCUGCCACGUCACUGUGUAAACAAUUAAGUCAUCCAAGUACGCGUUACAGUUUGGCAGCCCGGCCAAGACGGUAUUAACGAGCCGCUGGAAGGUGGCCGGGGCGUUACACAUGCCAAACGCCAUGACGGUGUACUGCAAGAAACAGUCAGGAGUCACAAACGCGGAGAUCUCAGAUGCGCGCUCCGUUAACGGGACUUGCCAGUAUCCUUUCAAUAGGUCCAGCUUGCUGACGUACUUAGCGCUGCCAAGCGUGUCGACACAAUCUUCCAUUCUAGGAAGAGGAACGAGUCUUUGACAGUUACUGAAUUUACCUUUCGCAGAUCUGUGAUAAAACGAGGGGUACCGUCUGAUUUUUUCUCCAACAAACAUGGAGAGCUCCAAGCGCUGGAGCUUGGCACAGCUAAACCGUGUUUUAACAAAUAAUCUGUUUCUUUUUUCAUGAGCUGGCGCUUCACGGGGUUGAGUCUGUACGGAUGCUGUCGGAUGGGCUUUGCUCCGUUGACAUCUAUGUCAUGUUGCAGAACAGUAGUGCGAGUUGGAACGUCGCCGAAAAGACACUUAAAAUUAUCGAUCAAAGCAAUUAGGUCACUUUGUUGCGCGCGGGUCAAAUGACUUAGCUGGGACGAUAAUGUUUUCAGUGACUCCGAAUUCAGCAGUCGCGCUGUUUGAUGCGAUGAGGUACACGUCUGUAAAUCAUCCUCAUCAGCAAUGGUAGGAGACUCAGUGACAAUCAGCGCAUUGACAGCGAUAGUAUUAGCUUUUGGGGGAACCACUGGUGGAGUGACAGCUGGGUUCGGUUCACGUGUGAAGUAAGGUUUGAGCAUGUUUAUGUGACAAACACGACUUUUACGCCUUCUCUCCGGGGUAGCAAUAACAUAGUUGAGGUCACUGAGGCAUUCACGGACCUCAUAGGGACCGGUAAAUUUAGCAGAGAGAGAAGAACCAGGGAUCGGCAGAAAGGCCAGCACUUUGUCACCAACAUCAAAUCGGCGGGGGGCCGGCAGAUCGGUCAUAACGACGCUUCAUCACAGCCUGGGAGGACAAAAGACACUCUUUAGCGAGCGAGUUUGCACGGUGUAAACGCUCGCGGAAUUUACUCACAAAAUCAAGUACGUUCUCUUCACGUGAGACUUCAGAGGACAGGAAUUUUUCUUGCAGAGAUUUAAGCGGACCGCGGAGUGUGUGGCCAAAUACGAGCUCUGCGGGGCUCAAACCUAAGGAUUCCUGGACAGCGUCACGAGCGGCGAACAACACGAAAGGAACCCCUUCAUCCCAACUUUUACCUGUCUCGAGGGAGUAUUUACGCAGCAUGGAUUUUAAUGUCUGAUGCCAACGUUCUAACGCUCCCUGGGAUUCAGGAUGAUACGCGCUGGACACGGAGUGUUGGACAUUGAGCGUUUUAAGGACUUGUCUGAACAACCGAGACUGGAAGUUUGUACCUUGAUCGGUCUGGAUAACACGAGGGAGGCCAAACGUGGAGAAAAACUUUGUCAGGGCUUUGACAACAGAGCUGGACGUAAUUUUACGCAGCGGGACGGCUUCCGGAUAGCGGGUGGCAGCACACAUAAUGGUGAGUAGGUACUGAUUACCUGUUUUAGAGCGGGGCAAUGGGCCUACACAGUCUAAGAUUACACGCUCAAAGGGCUCACCUAUGGUAGGAAAAGGAUGGAGUGGAGCAGGUGGGAUGGUUUGGUUUGGUUUACCCGCUAGUUGACACACAUGACAAGAGCGACAGAAUUUGGCUACAUCAGAUUUUAACCCAGGCCAGAAGAAAUGCUUGAGGAUGAGGUUGUAGGUCUUAUUCACCCCCAAAUGACCUGACCAUUUGCUCUCGUGGGCAACUGACAAUACAUGCUGCCGGUAUACAAAAGGCACUACAACUUGUAAAGCACUAUAUUCGCAAUCAGACACUGCAAGAGUCCAUUUACGCACCAGGAUGUCUUUAUUCAUUAGGUAAGAUACUGUUUCACCACUUGCUUUGUCGGCACUCACCACACUUUUGAAGCAACGUGCCAGAGUCGGGUCAGCCCUCUGCGCAGCGGCGAGACGUUCACUGCCCACCGGCAGCGUCGGACUGUCCGACGGCGCCGAACUCAGAUUCGCAGAACGCACGGGCUCGGCACUUUCUGACCGCAGAGAUGUGAGAGCUUUCUCCUUCACAACUUCCACAUCUGAAAAAGCAGACAUUAGCACAGAAUCCGACAGUGAGAAUUCAUCCAGUUUACGAGAUUGCGCACGAGUUACAGCACAAGAUGGAAACGGUUUCUGAGCAGUUUCUGUUUCAUUUUCUAUAUCAGGGCUCUGCGGAGAGUCAGACACUUCUAGUGCAGGGGUUACCUGGCCACCAGCGAUGUCGUUGCACAUAAGUAGAACUACUCCUUUUAUAGGCAGAGCGGGACAAACAGCCACAGGAAAAACACCACUUAUCAACCGGGACUUAAUGUGGACUGUAUGCACCGGUUGUGGGACAUAACCCAUCUCAAUACCUUGCAAGGCAACAGUAUAACCACAAAAAGACUUUUCAGAAAAUGGCAAUGCACUAGCCAGUAUAACAGAUUGAGAGCCACCGGUGUCCCUCAAAAUGCGUACUGGGCACUGAUCAGCAGUCUUACCUGUCAGAGAUACAUACCCGUCGAAUAUGAACGGCUCAAAACAUGGAUCUGGGCAAACAGAAGAAACAGCAUUAGAUACUACACGUUUCUCAGAUUUAAUGAGCCCAACGCCUUUAGGGGGCGAUCCGUUGCCAUUCUGUUUUUUCCUGUUUAAGGAGGGACAGUUUGCAAUGAGGUGUCCAGAUUCAUGACAAUAGUUACAGCUUCUUUCAUCCCUUCUGUGGAACACUCUGGCUUGUCCUCUCUGUGGUGCCGGAGCACGAGGCUUUUCAUAAGUAGACAAAAACACAGGUUUGUGGGUUAGCACAAAUUCAUCAGCCAGUACAGAGGCUGCAGAGAGAGAUGAAACUUUCUGUUCAUUUAGGUACACAACAAUGCGCUCUGGUAGACAUUUCUUAAAUUCUUCCAGAAGAAUUAGUUCACGGAGUGAACUGAAAUCAGCAGUUUUACUAGCGUUACACCAUUUAUCAAAAAGAGUUCCCUUUUCCCUUGCGAACUCCACAUACGUCUGUUCAGGGCCCCUUGUGUGGUUCCGAAAUUUUUGCCUGUAAGCUUCAGGGACUAAUUCAUAGGCACGUUAAAUAGACAUCUUUACCUUUUCAUAGUUCAGGCUCUCCGCUAAAGGUAGAGCAGCUACAGCUUCUUGUGCUUUACCAUGGAUCUUACAUUGGAGAAGUAGUGGCCACUCUUCAUAAGGCCACUGAAGUGCAGUCGCAAUGCGCUCAAAUGCCGGAAAAUAACUGUCAACUUCAGAGUCUCUGAAUGGUGGAACAAGAGAAAUAUGCUUACCAAUGUCAAAGGACUCUCGGGUAGAGCUGGUGGAAGGAGGUGACAUUAUUGCAUCUGCAGAUGCAUCCAGUGCCGGGGUUGCUUUCAGCUGAGCUUCUAGCUCCAGCUGACGUAGUCGGACUGCUUUAUCAGCCUCGAUCUCCAUUUUACGGAUCUCAAGCCUCAGCUUUGCUUGCCGGUUCUCGGCUCUCUCCUGAGCCUCCAUCUGGAUUCGUGCCAGCCUGACUUUCAGUCUGGCCUCACCCAGAGAAUCAGUGCUGCCUGAGAAAGGAGGAUCAUAGCGAGGCAAGGUAAAGGGAGUUUUGGGCUGAGCAGACACUUUACUGAACUCCCUUUGUGCAGUGUAAUCAGCCGCAGUCUCAGAGCCAGGUGCACACACAGGUGACUCAGGGAGCACCGGCAAAACAAUUACACCUAAUUCCACCAACUUACCUAUGACUAGAGAUUUUAAUUCUUUUUUCAGGAUUGAUUUGGCAAACAGGACAUUGAAGUGCACAGCUAUCUCGACCAAAUUAUCCUUUCUGCACUUAUUAAUUUGGUCAAGUGUCGGAUUUAACAAGAAGCUGUCAAGAUUGAAAGAUGCCAUUUUACCUACCUAAGCACACACACAAUAAUCUUACCUUUAGUAACAAUAACUUUUCGGAUUUCCGGGUCUCCUUUAACGGAUUAGGAUCCCGGACGAGCCCCCAUUUAUGUUACGACCAGCUCGUUUAAGGGAGAAGGGAAGCAACAUAAAACCGACCAGAUGUUAAAUGAUCAAAUCAAGUUAUUUAUUAACAAAAGUAAAAUUGGCAGUAACAACAAAAAGAGAGGCAACAAAGGCCUUAAAGGAAACUUAACAGGUUGCCAAAAACACAGGGAGACUCUAACCUAGAGUUAGUUACCAGUAAAAUAAACAGAUCUGCUCACAAUCGGCAAGAAACAAACUAAAACACAACUCUCAGCCCUAAUGCUGGAUACAAAAGAAAGCAGGUAGGCGUGUGCAAACCAAAAUGCCUCACAAGCAAUGAAAAAGUCCUUAUUCACAAUUACUAAGACAAUCAGUCUGAGGAAGAGGCAUGGGAGCUCCACUGGUUACAGCGUGCUCCCUGAUCUGCAGGUCCGCUGGAGUUUUAUCCACUCCCCCCAAGUGGCUCCUCUCAAUUGGCAGAAGCCCUCAGCCAGUCAGUGUUUGCAGUCAGUUUCCAGGUGGAGGUGAUCAGGCACUUAAUUGAUCCGCAGCCACGGCAACCUGUGAACUGCAGGCAGCAUGCACACACAGGCACUCUCACACCCGCACACACACACACACACAGAGAGAGAGAGAGAGGAAGACCCAAGACUCGCCACUCUAAGGCGGUGGCCGUAACACUUUUGG